rnacentral:lncRNA from 1 species
ACAUGAUUAUGAUUAUUAAGGGUAUAUUAAUUGUGUCUAACUGUCGCCUGGUGAGAUUAAUAGAUUAAGGUAAAACUUUAUGAUACCAUAUGGCCUAGAUGUUGAUUGACUUUUAUUUUUAUGACCUAAGAUCAGUGCCUCAGAUAUGGUAAUGAAAUAGCACCCGUACCUUCUUGAAUAUACAGACGAUCUGCUAAGUGAACAUCACAGCAUGAAUCUGUCCAUUUUUAUGUGAAGGUAACACUCAAAGUCAGGUGACAUAU